rnacentral:rRNA from 1 species
GGUUAAGCGACUAAGCGUACACGGUGGAUGCCCUGGCAGUCAGAGGCGAUGAAGGACGUGCUAAUCUGCGAUAAGCGUCGGUAAGGUGAUAUGAACCGUUAUAACCGGCGAUUUCCGAAUGGGGAAACCCAGCAUGAGUUAUGUCAUGUUAUCGAUAUGUGAAUACAUAGCAUAUCAGAAGGCACACCCGGAGAACUGAAACAUCUUAGUACCCGGAGGAAGAGAAAGAAAAUUCGAUUCCCUUAGUAGCGGCGAGCGAAACGGGAAGAGCCCAAACCAACAAGCUUGCUUGUUGGGGUUGUAGGACACUCUAUACGGAGUUACAAAGGACGACAUUAGACGAAUCAUCUGGAAAGAUGAAUCAAAGAAGGUAAUAAUCCUGUAGUCGAAAAUGUUGUCUCUCUUGAGUGGAUCC